rnacentral:rRNA from 1 species
UGCGGUUAAAAAGCUCGUAGUUGGAUUUCUGCCGAGGACGACCGGUCCGCCCAUUGGGUGAGUAUCUGGUUCGGCCUGGGCAUCUUCUUGGAGAACGUAGCUGCACUUGACUGUGUGGUGCGGUAUCCAGGACUUUUACUUUGAGGAAAUUAGAGUGUUUCAAGCAGGCUCACGCCUUGAAUACAUUAGCAUGGAAUAAUAAUAUAGGACCUCGGUUCUAUUUUGUUGGUUUCUAGAGCUGAGGUAAUGAUUAAUAGGGAUAGUUGGGGGCAUUCGUAUUUAACUGUCAGAGGUGAAAUUCUCGGAUUUGUUAAAGACGGACUACUGCGAAAGCAUUUGCCAAGGAUGUUUUCAUUGAUCAAGAACGAAAGUUAGGGGAUCGAAGACGAUCAGAUACCGUCCUAGUCUUAACCAUAAACCAUGUCGACUAGAGAUUGGAGGUCGUUAUCUAUACGACUCCUUCAGCACCUUAUGAGAAAUCAAAGUCUUUGGGUUCCGGGGGGAGUAUGGUCGCAAGGCUGAAACUUAAAGGAAUUGACGGAAGGGCACCACCAGGAGUGGAGCCUGCGGCUUAAUUUGACUCAACACGGGGAAAACUUACC